GAAAAAAGUCUUGAAUUCCAAGUGGAUUGGAAUCAGAGACUUAGUUGGCCACAGGAUUUCUUUUUUUUUUUUUUAAUUUUUUAUUGCAUUUUAGGUUUUGGGGUACAUGAGAAGAACAUGCAAGACAGUUGCGUAGGUACACACAUGGCAGUGUGUUUUGCUUCCUUUCUCCCCUUCACCCACAUUUGGCAUUUCUCCCCAGGCUAUCCCUCCCCACCUCCCCCUCCCACUGGCCCUCCCCUUUUCCCCCCAAUAGACCCCAGUGUUUAGUACUCCCCUCCCUGUGUCCAUGUGUUCUCAUUUUUCAUCACCUGCCUAUGAGUGAGAAUAUGUGGUAUUUCAUUUUCUGUUCUUGUGUCAGUUUGCUGAGGAUGAUGUUCUCCAGAUUCAUCCAUGUCCCUACAAACGACACAAACUCAUCACUUUGUCUCUUUUGAUCUUUGUUACAUUAAAGUCUAUUUUAUCAGAUAUGAGAAUUUCAACUCCUGCUUUUUUUUUUUUUUUUUUUUCGUGUCCCUUUGCUUGGUAAAUCUUCCUUCAUCUUUUUAUUUUGAGCCUUUUCGUAUCCUUGCCUAUGAGAUGGGUUUCCUGGAUACAGCACACCGAUGGGUUUUGGCUUUUUAUCUAAUUUGCCAGUCUGUGUCUUUUGAUUGGUGCAUUUAGCCCAUUUACAUUUAGAGUUCAUAUUGUUAUGUGUGAAUUUGAUACUGCCAUUUUGAUGCUAGCUGGUUGUUUUGCCCAUUAGUUGAUGCAGAUUCUUCAUUUUGUUGAUGCUCUUUAGCAUUUGGUAUGUUUUUGGAAUGGCUGGUACUGGUUGUUCCUUUCUAUGUGUAGUGCCUCUAUCAGGAGCUCUUGUAAAGCAGGCCUGGUGGUGACAAAAUCUCUGAGUACUUGCUUGUUCACAAAGGAUUUUAUUUUUCCUUCACUUCUGAAGCUCAGUUUGGCUGGAUAUGAAAUUCUGGGUUGAAAGUUCUUUUCUUUAAGGAUGUUGAAUAUUGGCCCCCACUCUCUUCUGGGUAGGGUUUCCGCCAAGAGAUCUGCUGUGAGUCUGAUGGGCUUCCCUUUGUGGGUGACCCGACUUUUCUCUCUGGCUGCCCUUAGCAUUUUCUCCUUCAUUUCAACCCUGGUGAAUCUGACGAUUAUGUGCCUUGGGGUUGCUCUUCUUGCAAAUAUCU
rnacentral:lncRNA from 1 species